rnacentral:rRNA from 1 species
AGUCGAGCGAAUGGAUUAAGAGCUUGCUCUUAUGAAGUUAGCGGCGGACGGGUGAGUAACACGUGGGUAACCUGCCCAUAAGACUGGGAUAACUCCGGGAAACCGGGGCUAAUACCGGAUAACAUUUUGAACCGCAUGGUUCGAAAUUGAAAGGCGGCUUCGGCUGUCACUUAUGGAUGGACCCGCGUCGCAUUAGCUAGUUGGUGAGGUAACGGCUCACCAAGGCAACGAUGCGUAGCCGACCUGAGAGGGUGAUCGGCCACACUGGGACUGAGACACGGCCCAGACUCCUACGGGAGGCAGCAGUAGGGAAUCUUCCGCAAUGGACGAAAGUCUGACGGAGCAACGCCGCGUGAGUGAUGAAGGCUUUCGGGUCGUAAAACUCUGUUGUUAGGGAAGAACAAGUGCUAGUUGAAUAAGCUGGCACCUUGACGGUACCUAACCAGAAAGCCACGGCUAACUACGUGCCAGCAGCCGCGGUAAUACGUAGGUGGCAAGCGUUAUCCGGAAUUAUUGGGCGUAAAGCGCGCGCAGGUGGUUUCUUAAGUCUGAUGUGAAAGCCCACGGCUCAACCGUGGAGGGUCAUUGGAAACUGGGAGACUUGAGUGCAGAAGAGGAAAGUGGAAUUCCAUGUGUAGCGGUGAAAUGCGUAGAGAUAUGGAGGAACACCAGUGGCGAAGGCGACUUUCUGGUCUGUAAC